UAACUUUAAUUUGCUAUUAUUCCAUUUUAUUCAAAGGUUUAGUAUGUCUAGCUACACCGAUUCGACCCAUCGCUUCAACAAUACGAUGCAUGACUUUCAAUGAGAGAGCCAAGACUAAUCUAACUAUACCCGAAGUGAUAUCCGCACUGACUGAUAAGUUAGGACUGUAUUAUACUACAGCUGCAGACAAGUUCCACGGUCUCCUCGCAAAUCCUCGAGACCUACAGCUUCUGCCACAACAUAUCUACGAUAAUCAAAGACAAGCUAGAGUACUAAUUCUGUCAGGUUAUGAAAUACAACACAUUGAAGCUAAUGCGUUCACCGCAUUUACAAGCCUCCGUAC